AGGACGAACGCUGGCGGCGUGCUUAACACAUGCAAGUCGAACGGUAAGGCCUUUCGGGGUACACGAGUGGCGAACGGGUGAGUAACACGUGGGUGAUCUGCCCUGCACUUUGGGAUAAGCCUGGGAAACUGGGUCUAAUACCGAAUAUGACCAUGGGAUGCAUGUCUCGUGGUGGAAAGCUUUUGCGGUGUGGGAUGGGCCCGCGGCCUAUCAGCUUGUUGGUGGGGUGAUGGCCUACCAAGGCGACGACGGGUAGCCGGCCUGAGAGGGUGUCCGGCCACACUGGGACUGAGAUACGGCCCAGACUCCUACGGGAGGCAGCAGUGGGGAAUAUUGCACAAUGGGCGCAAGCCUGAUGCAGCGACGCCGCGUGGGGAUGACGGCCUUCGGGUUGUAACCCCGUUUCAGCACAGACGAAGCGCAAGUGACGGUAUGUGCAGAAGAAGCACCGGCCAACUACGCGCCAGCAGCCGCGGU
rnacentral:rRNA from 1 species